rnacentral:rRNA from 1 species
GAUGAACGCUGGCGGCAUGCUUAGCACAUGCAAGUCGGACGGGAAACACGGGAAACGGUGUUUCCAGUGGCGGACGGGGGAGUAACGCGUACGAACCUGCCCUUUGGAGGGGAACAACAGCUGGAAACGGCUGCUAAUACCCCGUAGGCUGAGGAGCAAAAGGAGGAAUCCGCCCGAGGGGGGGCUCGCGUAUGAUUAGCUAGUUGGUGAGGGAAUAGCUUACCAAGGCGAUGAUCAGUAGCUGGUCCGAGAGGAUGAUCGGCCACACUGGGACGGGGACCCGGACCAGGCUCCUACGGGAGGCAGCCGUGGGGAAUUUUCAGCAAUGGGCGAAAGCCUGACGGGGCAAUGCCGCGUGGAGGUAGAAGGACCACGGGUCGUGAACUUCUUUUCCCGGAGAAGAAGCAAUGACGGUAUCUGGGGAAUAAGCAUCGGCUAACUCUGUG